rnacentral:rRNA from 1 species
UACGAAGGGGGCUAGCGUUGCUCGGAAUCACUGGGCGUAAAGGGCGCGUAGGCGGAUCUUUAAGUCGGGGGUGAAAGCCUGUGGCUCAACCACAGAAUUGCCUUCGAUACUGGGGAUCUCGAGACCGGAAGAGGUGAGUGGAACUGCGAGUGUAGAGGUGAAAUUCGUAGAUAUUCGCAAGAACACCAGUGGCGAAGGCGGCUCACUGGUCCGAUACUGACGCUGAGGCACGAAAGCGUGGGGAGCAAACAGG